UUGAUCCUGGCUCAGAGCGAACGUUGGCGGCGUGGAUUAGGCAUGCAAGUCGAGGGAGAAAGCGGGGGCAACUCUGCGAGUAAACCGGCGAAAGGGUGAGUAAUAUGUGGUCAAUCUACCUCCAAGAUGGGGACAACCACUGGAAACGGUGGCUAAUACCCAAUGGUUCCGCUGGGUGGCAUCAUUCGGCGGACAAACGGUGGGGACCUUCGGGCCUUCUGCUUGGAGAGGAGACCACAUCCUAUCAGCUUGUUGGUGGGGUAACGGCCCACCAAGGCAAUGACGGGUAGGCGGCCUGAGAGGGUGGUCGCCCACACCGGCACUGAGACACUGGCCAGACUCCUACGGGAGGCUGCAGUCGAGAAUCUUCUGCAAUGGACGAAAGUCUGACAGAGCGACGCCGCGUGGAGGAUGAAGGCUCUCGGGUUGUAAACUCCUUUUAGCCGUUAAGAAAAGUUGGGUGUGAAUAACAUCCAACCUGACAAAGGCGGCAGAAAAAGCCCCAGCUAACUACGUGCCAGCAGCUGCGGUAAGACGUAGGGGGCAAACGUUGCUCGGAAUUAUUGGGCAUAAAGCGCACGUAGGUGGUUCUGUAAGUCUGGCGUGAAAGCCCCCGGCUCAACCGGGGAACGGCGUCAGAAACUGCAGGGCUAGAGGGUUGGAGGGGAGACUGGAACUCCUGGUGUAGCGGUGAAAUGCGUAGAUAUCAGGAGGAACGCCCGUGGCGAAAGCGAGUCUCUGGACAACAUCUGACACUGAGGUGCGAAAGCUAGGGGAGCAAACGGGAUCAGAUACCCCGGUAGUCCUAGCCGUAAACGAUGGGCACUAGAUAGGAGCAGGUCCUAUGCCUGUUCCUGUCGGAGCAAAUGUGUUAAGUGCCCCGCCUGGGGAGUAUGCUCGCAAGGGUAAAACUCAAAGGAAUUGACGGGGGCUCACACAAGCGGUGGAGCAUGUGGUUCAAUUCGAGGCAACGCGCAGAACCUUACCUGGGUUUGACAUUCACGGAUUAGCCUGAUGAAAGUCGGGUGACAGCCGAAAGGUUGGAACGUGGACAGGUGUUGCAUGGCUGUCGUCAGCUCGUGUCGUGAGAUGUCGGGUUAAGUCCCAUAACGAGCGAAACCCUUGUCAUUAGUUGCCACCGGGUCAAGCCGAGCACUCUAGUGAGACUGCCGCUGUUAAAGCGGAGGAAGGUGGGGACGACGUCAAGUCAUCAUGGCCUUUAUGCCCAGGGCUACACACGUGCUACAAUGCCUGGUACAGCGGGUUCCCAAGCCGCAAGGUGGAGGUAAUCCCUAAAAACCAGGCCCAGUUCGGAUUGGAGGCUGCAAUUUGCCUCCAUGAAGUCGGAAUCGCUAGUAAUCGCGGAUCAGCUACGCCGCGGUGAAUAUGUUCCUGAGCCUUGUACACACCGCCCGUCAAGCCACGAAAAUUGGGGGUACCCGUAGUCGACGCUCUAACCCGCAAGGGAGGGGCUCGCCGAAGGUAAACUCAAUGAUGGGGACUAAGUCGUAACAAGGUAACC
rnacentral:rRNA from 1 species